CCUACGGGUGGCAGCAGUGAGGAAUAUUGGUCAAUGGGCGGGAGCCUGAACCAGCCAAGUCGCGUGAGGGACGACGGUCCUAUGGAUUGUAAACCUCUUUUGUCGGGGAACAAAGGCGCCCACGGGUGGGCGGAUGAGUGUACCCGAAGAAAAAGCAUCGGCUAACUCCGUGCCAGCCGCCGCGCUAAUACGGAGGAUGUGAGCGUUAUCCGGAUUUAUUGGGUUAAAAGGGUGCGUAGGCGGACAGUCAAGUCAGCGGUAAAAAUGCGGUGCUCAACGCCGUACAGCAGUUGAAACUGGCAGACGUGAGUGGGCGAGAAGAAUGUGGAAUGCGAGGUGUAGCGGUGAAAUGCAUAGAUAUCACGAGGAACACCGAUGGCGAAGGCAGCAUACCGGCGCCUUACUGACGCUGAGGCACGAAAGCGUGGGUAUCGAACAGGAUUAGAUACCCCAGUAGUC
rnacentral:rRNA from 1 species